rnacentral:tRNA from 1 species
GCUUGCAUGGCAUGCAAGAGGUCGACGGUUCGAUCCCGUCUAGCUCCA